GCUGCGGCUCCUGAAAUCCUCCGGUGUGAACUUCUCCCAGGGCUGUUGAUGCUUCAUCUACUCUUCUGGCAGUGGGGGCCUGGACCUUAGUUACCCGGGAAGCGUGAGUCAUGUUGCACAGUUGAGCUGGCACAUAAAACUACGAGCUCCUGCUUCCUGACCUGCUUGAGUUCCAGUCCUGACUUCUUUCAGUGAUGAACAGCAAUGUGGAAAUUUUAUAGAACAAGGAAUUGAAGCUUGGAGAAGAUUGAUGGACCACUCAAGUUCCCUGGAUGGUCCAGGAUGCAGACUGAGGAUGGCCUAAAACAUUAGUUUUGCUGGCUCCCUGUGCUUGGCUAACUUUAGAGCCUCUUACCUUGCCACAGUCUUUUCUAUGAAGGACAGAGAGCCAAGGAGUGGACCAACAUGCCUGAGUUUACACAGUGGACCUGAGGACCGUCACCUCCCAGUGCAAUGUUCCUGUGUACUGCCACUGAAGAGACAGGUGGGAGGGAGCUCAAGGUUGACUUGCCUAACAACCAUUGCUUGAAAGACAAAGCUCCCAAGGAGAGCACAAAAUACCUCACUCGAGACUCCUCUGCAUCACCAACCAGUGUGAAGAAAGCCUGCAGCUGUCAGCAGAGUAUUCUUUGUCUCGGUGACACGCUGUGCCUACAGUUGGACUAGAAACUUUGGAUUAGGGUGUGAGUCGUGCCCCAUAGGACAGAGGUGGUGCAUGUAGCCUCAUUUUGGAGUUUAUUUAGAGAGGAGAAAGAAUGUACCAUAGUCCCCAAAGGCUCUAGGUUACAGUGAAUUCUCUUUAGUUCAGUUAUAGUUUAGUUUAGCUUGGUUUGGUUAGCUGUGGUUCCGUUCUGUUCCGUUCUGUUCUGUUCGGUUCAGUUCGGUUCAGUUGCAGAGUUGUUGCUCUUUCAUGCUUUGCAUCCCAACUCCCUGCUCUCUCUUGGCUUUGGUUCCCAUCAGGUCCAGAAUAAAUGGCAAGGAGAGGGUCAUAGAACAAGUUAAACGAUGCUUUUUAUUGGCAGGAUUGGGACUAAAGAGAUCAGGAGUAAGACUGGGAAUAAGUAUGCCAACUUAGGGUGUGGGGUAAAAUAAAUAGUAACCGGUGAGGGUCUCCAACCCAAUGAGGUA
rnacentral:lncRNA from 1 species